rnacentral:RNase_P_RNA from 1 species
CCAGUCGGCCGGACAGCUGCUGCCACAAGUGCCGAAAGGCCGUGGUGGAGGAAAGUCCGGGCUCCGAGGAAACACGGUGCCGGGUAACGCCCGGCGGAGGCGACUCUAGGGAAAGUGCCACAGAAAGCAAACCGCCCCGAUGUGCAGGCUUGUCUUGCGAGCGGGGUAAGGGUGAAAGGGUGGGGUAAGAGCCCACCGCGCGGGCGGUAACGGCCGCGGCACGGUAAACCCCACCGGGAGCAAGACCGAAUAGGGGCAACGUGGGCGCUUGACGCCCAGGCCGGUUUCCAGGCCAGUUGCCCGGGUUGGUUGCGAGAGGCGUUCGGCAACGGACGUCCCAGAUGAAUAGCUGUCACGUCUGAUGAGGAUCCGUCCUUUUCGGGCCGUACAGAACCCGGCUUACAGGCCGACUGGCACU